CGAGGAGUAGUAACAACGAACAAUGAGAAGUCAGCCGAGGUCAUAGUAGGUAGAAAUACUGAAGGAC
rnacentral:ncRNA from 1 species